rnacentral:rRNA from 1 species
GUGCCAGCCGCCGCGGUAACACCGGCAGCCCAAGUGAUGGCCGAUAUUAUUGGGCCUAAAGCGUCCGUAGCUGGCCGCACAAGUCCGUCGGGAAAUCCACUCGCUUAACGAGUGGGCGUCCGGCGGAAACUGUACAGCUUGGGACCGGAAGGCUCGAAGGGUACGUUCGGGGUAGGAGUGAAAUCCCAUAAUCCCGCACGGACCACCGAUGGCGAAAGCACUUCGAGAAAACGGAUCCGACAGUGAGGGACGAAAGCCAGGGUCUCCAACCGGAUUAGAAACCCUAGUAGUCC